UUAAAUUGAAGAGUUUGAUCAUGGCUCAGAUUGAACGCUGGCGGCAGGCCUAACACAUGCAAGUCGAACGGUAACAGGAAGCAGCUUGCUGCUUUGCUGACGAGUGGCGGACGGGUGAGUAAUGUCUGGGAAACUGCCUGAUGGAGGGGGAUAACUACUGGAAACGGUGGCUAAU
rnacentral:rRNA from 1 species